rnacentral:tRNA from 1 species
CAAGAAGUAGUUUAAUUUAAAAUAUUAAUUUUGGAGAUUAAUGAUAAGAGUUUCUUUUUCUUGA